UACAGAGGUCUCAAGCGUUGUUCGGAUUCAUUGGGCGUAAAGGGUGCGUAGGCGGCGCGGUAAGUCGGGUGUGAAAUUUCGAGGCUUAACUUCGAAACUGCAUUCGAUACUGCCGUGCUCGAGGACUGGAGAGGAGACUGGAAUUUACGGUGUAGCGGUGAAAUGCGUAGAUAUCGUAAGGAAGACCAGUGGCGAAGGCGGGUCUCUGGACAGUUCCUGACGCUGAGACGCGAAAGCGUGGGGAGCGAACAGG
rnacentral:rRNA from 1 species